rnacentral:rRNA from 1 species
GAUGAACGCUGGCGGCGUGCUUAACACAUGCAGGUCGAACGAGUAUAUGGAGCUUGCUCUAUAUACUAGCGGCGGACGGGUGAGUAACGCGUGAGCAAUCUGCCUCUAUCUGUGGGAUAACACUUAGAAAUAGGUGCUAAUACCGCAUAAGACCACGCUAUGGCAUCAUAGAGGGGUAAAAGAUUUAUCGGAUAGAGAUGAGCUCGCGUCCCAUUAGUUAGUUGGUAGGGUAACGGCCUACCAAGACGUCGAUGGGUAGCCGACCUGAGAGGGUGAUCGGCCACAUUGGAACUGAGAAACGGUCCAAACUCCUACGGGAGGCAGCAGUGGGGAAUAUUGGGCAAUGGAGGCAACUCUGACCCAGCAACGCCGCGUGAAGGAAGAAGGUCUUCGGAUUGUAAACUUCUGUCGUAAGGGAAGAAGAAUGACGGUACCUUAUAAGAAAGCCCCGGCUUACUACGUGCCAGCAGCCGCGGUAAAAC